rnacentral:rRNA from 1 species
GUGGGGAAUCUUAGACAAUGGGGGAAACCCUGAUCUAGCCAUGCCGCGUGAGCGAUGAAGGCCUUAGGGUUGUAAAGCUCUUUCAGCUGGGAAGAUAAUGACGGUACCAGCAGAAGAAGCCCCGGCUAACUCCGUGCCAGCAGCCGCGGUAAUACGGAGGGGGCUAGCGUUGUUCGGAAUUACUGGGCGUAAAGCGCACGUAGGCGGACCAGAAAGUCAGAGGUGAAAUCCCAGGGCUCAACCUUGGAACUGCCUUUGAAACUCCUGGUCUUGAGGUCGAGAGAGGUGAGUGGAAUUCCGAGUGUAGAGGUGAAAUUCGUAGAUAUUCGGAGGAACACCAGUGGCGAAGGCGGCUCACUGGCUCGAUACUGACGCUGAGGUGCGAAAGCGUGGGGAGCAAACAGGAUUAGAAACCCCUGUAGUCC